AAUGUUUUAAUAACGUAUAAUAAAGUGUACAGUCAUAUUCCAGUUAACCCCAGUUCUUACAGGAACUAUGUCAACCAGUGUGGGUCAGGGCCAUCUCACUAGCAGACAGAGACCCAGCCCCUCUUGUAAACAGGCGUCUGGCCUUCCACCCAUUCUACCGUUUCAUUUCCUUACUUUUUUAUUAUUAUCAUAUCAGGACUAAAUCUGUAACGGCUCGUCUGUUCCAACUUCACCCAGUUAUAAAAUGCUGUCGCCGGGCUGAUCGUUAACGUUACAGUUUAACGGAGGUUUGUUUUCUUGCCUCCACGGUCCGCGGCUACUUCCUGGUGCCACAGAGAGAGGCAGUGCUGAGUUAAAGAGACAGAAACACUGGUAGAAAUUCAGACAGAAAAAAAACCACUGAGAGAGGAGAGGGGCUGGAGACGUGAUAGGAACAGUUGACCGGAUUCCCAGAAAUUGAAAUCCCCCCCUGUCUCUCUCUGUCUCUCUCCCUCUCUCUCUUUUUUUCUUUCUGUUCUUAUUUAUGUAAAUAUUUUAAAUAUUUCCUCGGUGAAUCGAGCGGUUGUUCUUCGUCGGCGCGGAUGACGGUCUGCUGCGGCUGAAGCGGAAUUGUAACGGGGGAACAUAUUCCUCCCUCCGACGGACGGACGGACGGAGAGAAGCCUCGCAGAGAUUUAUUAUUAUUAUUAUUUUCACAGCACACUCGUUGUUGGUGUGACUAUUAUUAUUUUUUAAAACCCCAUCCUCCUCGGCUGCCAUUUUUUCUUCUCUUUACAACGAUAUUAUUUUUAACGGCUCCACAAGGAAGGGUUGAGGGUGACGGAAGAUGGGUUGUUUGGGCAACAGCAAGACUGAAGACCAACGCAUCGACGAAAAGGCACAACGAGAAGCUAAUAAAAAGAUAGAAAAGCAGCUACAGAAGGAGAGACAGGCGUAUAAAGCAACACACAGGCUCUUACUGCUGGGUGCGGGAGAGUCCGGAAAAAGCACCAUUGUGAAGCAGAUGAGGAUUCUACACGUCAACGGCUUCAACGCUGA